rnacentral:rRNA from 1 species
GCUCCAAUAGCGUAUAUUAAAGUUGUUGCAGUUAAAAAGCUCGUAGUUGGAUUUCGGGUGGGACGCAGCGGUCUCGCAUUGCGUUUGUACUGCUGCAGCCUCCUUCUUGCCGGGGGCGCCUCUCGGACUUCACUGUCUGGGGGUCAGAAUCGGCGAUGUUACUUUGAGUAAAUUAGAGUGUUCAAAGCAAGCUUACGCUC